CUGGAAUGAUGUGACUUAGCCAAAUCAUAUAAUGUGCUCCAUGUGGGAACAAACAUUGUUUCCAAAGCUUGCUCUCACUUAAAACUCAAGCUUUGGUUGAUGUUGAUGGACCUCAUGUUGAAGUGCAUUUCCCUGAUGAUAUACCAGGAGAUUGGUUGUUGCCUGACCAGA
rfam:Vigna angularis cultivar Jingnong 6 chromosome 9, whole genome shotgun sequence.